AUACUAUCCUAAGCUAAAUUUUUAACCCUCAUGAGUGUCAUAAGAAAUUCUAUCCCAAGAUACGACUGAGAUGUCUUCUCUUGAAGCACGAUCAUAGAAAAGAUGGAUAGAUUUUUUUUCAACACUCAACAAAAGAAAAAGGCAAAAAAAAAAGAAUAAAGUAAUAGAUAACAAGAAAGCAUAAGGCGAUAAAACAGAAGAGAGAAGAAUCGCUAUUUUUCUGAUUCCCAAU
rnacentral:lncRNA from 1 species